UGGUCCUUAUUGUGAUCAAUAGAAAUCUUCCUGGGCUUCACACAGCUGUUGUCAUGGCAAUAAUUAGUCAGGGUGCUGGGAUUGCAGGUAAUUAGGGCCUUUUCAAUUGUUUUUGCAGCUAUUAUAGACUGCAGCUGGGACCAGAGGCGGCCCAGUCCACCGCGGCCCUCCACUGGUCCAAGCUCUGGUGGUUGGGGACCCCUGUAUUAAAUUUCUCCAUUACUCUGCUAUGUCUUCUUCUUGCUGAGCUUCCUGGUCACUGUUCGCUAUUCCGGACGCUGUUUUGCCCUCUUCGAUAAAGCUGCACGCUGACAUGACUUCCAUCACGUCUCCUCCGACACAUUAAAUAACUUGGGAAUGUCCACCACUGAGGCGCCGGCUAGUUUGGCCCCAAAUAUCUGCCCUCAUUCAAAGUCGCUGAGAUCUUCGCGGCCGCUUAUGUUAUGGAGAAACCAAACGCUUCUCAGUCCUGCUGUCACUGGAAAAUAGCGUUGCCAUCUGGCAUGUAAAAAUGAUGGCUAAUUUUAAUGAAUGUUAUUAAUAGGGAAAAAUGAUAAAUUUAUAGGAAGGCCAGUAUUUUUAUCCAGAAAAGGUGAAACCCCUGCUGGAAAAUGGUAAAGGUUUGUCAGAUCAGAGCGUGGGGAUUGACUAAUAAACCCCAAUAUUACCCAACUCAGCAAUAGAUCUUUAUUUAGUGAAGUAAAACUGUCUCUGUAUUACUCUUGCCUUGCGACCUACAGCCGCCAGUUAUUGCCACACUACAACUCCGAUCACCCCCUGUAGAAUGCUUUUUAGUUGUUAAUAAGAACAAAAGUUGAAUUAUAAAUAACAAGGAGCCGCCAGACAAAUUCUAUGCGGAGCCAUUUAUGACAUAACUACCCGCCCAAAGGCAGCCAUUGUUCUCUGCAUUGCUAAUCCCACAGCGCCAGAACGAGGCACAAUCAGUACUUCCAGUCUUGGGUGUGAAAUCUCGCGAGACUCUGGUUAAUCAAAAUGGCCUAUCUCGCGAGACUCUGGUUGAUCAGAGCGACCUUAUCCAGCGAGCUGUUGUUCGAACCCGGAAGCGCGCAUAGGUCAUAUUCUCAGCAAGAGGUUAACGGUGGUGUAUGAAUUGAGCAGGUUCCGGGGUCCCAACUAUAAAUAAACGGGCACCGCCUUCCUGACGGUCUUUCUGCUUGGGCUCCGCGUGGAGGAGGACGUGUGAUCCGGCUCUGUUGUAUAUGAUCCGGCUCUGUUGUAGACGAACGAGGAUGAGCCGCAUGACUGGGAUGAACCUCCAGCUUGAGAUGGAUGGGUCAACGGAUUCCCUAUUAGGAUAUCGGACGAGUCUUUUUAUUUUAAUACAAAUUUUCAUCAUCUUUAAUAUAUUAUGCUACUGAGCUUUUUCUAAUAAGUAAAAUUAGACCUGCUGGGCUCUGAGCGAGGCCUGUAUUUAGGGCCUUUAGUGCAGAUGCAACUGUUUAAGGGGGGAGAACUGUAUUCUAAAGGGGAGACUAAAUGUCACAACUGCCUUUAAUCUGCCAUGUCCUAAGAACACCUUGAAGUCAGAGGCGCCUUGGUGACUGAUAACAUUAUGGUAAGUCCUGCAACAUAUUACAUUUCAUGAGUAGUGUGUGUCAGACUAGCUUAGAACAAAUAGAGCAGGGAGCCCCCCUGCCACUGGAUUUUCAACUGAGGCAGUCUCUCCAAUACAGUAGAGUAGUGUCGGCAGAUAGGAUGCAGAUGUAAUAAGCUGCUCCAUGUAACAAAGGCUCUAGUUGGAGGGGAAGGGAGGGGAUAGUUUAUGCAGAGCUCAUUAUCUGUAUGUAUAUUUUUCUGCAUUUGUAGCAAAAACCCAGUUUAUCGGGGGAUUCAGCACAAUAAUACCAUCAAUGUUUCAUAAUGGCAAAAAACUAAAACAUGAAUAUAUAUAUUUAUUUUUAUUCAAGUUAUAUUUGAAAUGAAGAGAAUCUGCAAGCUACAUUUUCAGCACAAGUCCUAUUAAGCAAAGGCACAUGUAGAUAUAUACUGCCCAUUUAAGAAGGCAAAUGGCAUGCCUGAUUUAUACAGAGCAGUACGAACUCUAUGGAAAUAUUAAAUAUAUAUCUAUACAUGUGUGAUAUUUUCUCCAUGAACAGAAUGAUUUUACAUAAAGUUGUAUUGAACCAGCUGCAAAGUGAUUUAUGAUUUAUUUGUGCUUUGAAUUAAAUAAAGAUCCAUUUUAUAAA